GUAUUAGAGUUUAUGACCAGGGGUACAGGUUUGGUCUGGUGGUGGAAUUAGUCAUAGUAUUAGAGUUUAUUACCAGGGCCCCAGGUUUGGUCUGGUUGUGAUAGUAGUAGAGUUAGAGUUUAUAGCCAUGGCCCCAGGUCGAGGGGUGUGUUGACAGUAGUAGAAGAAGUAUUAGAGUUUUUGACCAGGGGUACAGGUUUGGUCUGGUGGUGGAAUUAGUCAUAGUAUUAGAGUUUAUUACCAGGGCCCCAGGUUUGGUCUGGUGGUGGAAUUAGUCAUAGUAUUAGAGUUUAUCACCAGGGCCCCAGGUUUGGUCUGGUGGUGAUAGCAGUAGUAUUAGGGUUUAUAACCAUGCUCUCCAGUUUUGGUCUGGUAGUGAAUGUAGUACCAGUAUUAGAAUUUAUAGCCAGGGCCUGAGGUUUGUUUUUUUGUAGUGAUAGUAGUAGUAGUAAAUUUAGAGUUUAUGACCAGGGCCCCAGGUUUGGUCUGGUGGUGAAAGUAGAGGUAGUAUUAGGGUUUAUAACCAGGGCACCAGUAUUGGUUAGGGGUUGAUUGUAGUACUAGUAUUAGAGUCUAUAACAGAUGCCUCAGGUUUGGUACGGUGGUGAUAGUAAUAAUAGCAUUAGAGUUUAUAUCCAGUCUCCCCAGGUUUGGUCUGGUGGUGAUAGUUGUAGUAGUAUUAGAGUUUAUAACCAGGGCCCCAGAUUUUGUCUGGUGAUGAUAGUAGUAGUAUUAGAGUUCAUAGCCAGGGCCCCAGAUUUUGUCUGGUGGUGAUAGUAGUAGUAUUAGAGUUUAUAACCAGGGCCCCAGGUUUGGUCUGGUGGUGAUUGUAGUAGAGUUAGAGUUUAUUACCAGGGCCCCAGCUUUGGUGUGGUGGUGAUAGUAGUAGAGUUAGAGUUUAUUACCAGGGCCCCAGGUUUGGUCUGGUUGUGAUAGUAGUAGAGUUGGAGUUUAUAACCAGGGCCCCAGGUUUGGUCUGGUGGUGAUAGUAGUAGAGUUAGAGUGUAUUACCAGGGCCCCAGGUUUCGUCUGGUUGUGAUAGUAGUAGAGUUAGAGUUUAUAGCCAUGGCCCCAGGUCGAGGGGUGUGUUGACAGUAGUAGAAUAAGUAUUAGAGUUUAUGACCAGGGGUACAGGUUUGGUCUGGUGGUGGAAUUAGUCAUAGUAUUAGAGUUUAUUACCAGGGCCCCAGGUUUGGUCUGGUUGUGAUAGUAGUAGAGUUAGAGUUUAUAGCCAUGGCUCCAGGUCGAGGGGUGUGUUGACAGUAGUAGAAGAAGUAUUAGAGUUUAUGACCAGGGGUACAGGUUUGGUCUGGUGGUGGAAUUAGUCAUAGUAUUAGAGUUUAUUACCAGGGCCCCAGGUUUGGUCUGGUGGUGAUAGUAGUAGAGUUAGAGUGUAUUACCAGGGCCCCAGGUUUGGUCUGGUUGUGAUAGUAGUAGAGUUAGAGUUUAUAGCCAUGGCCCCAGGUUGAGUGUGGUGUUGACAGUAGUAGAAUAAGUAUUAGAGUUUAUGACCAGGGGUACAGGUUUGGUCUGGUGGUGGAAUUAGUCAUAGUAUUAGAGUUUAUUACCAGGGCCCCAGGUUUGGUCUGGUGGUGGAAUUAGUCAUAGUAUUAGAGUUUAUUACCAGGGCCCCAGGUUUGGUCUGGUGGUGAUUGUAGUAGAGUUAGAGUUUAUUACCAGGGCCCCAGCUUUGGUGUGGUGGUGAUAGUAGUAGAGUUAGAGUUUAUUACCAGGGCCCCAGGUUUGGUCUGGUUGUGAUAGUAGUAGAGUUGGAGUUUAUAACCAAGGCCCCAGGUUUGGUCUGGUGGUGAUAGUAGUAGAGUUAGAGUGUAUAACCAGGGCCCCAGGUUUCGUCUGGUUGUGAUAGUAGUAGAGUUAGAGUUUAUAGCCAUGGCCCCAGGUUGAGUGUGGUGUUGACAGUAGUAGAAUAAGUAUUAGAGUUUAUGACCAGGGGUACAGGUUUGGUCUGGUGGUGGAAUUAGUCAUAGUAUUAGAGUUUAUUACCAGGGCCCCAGGUUUGGUC
ensembl:lncRNA